CGAGCGAACAGAUAGGAGCUUGCUCCUUUGACGUUAGCGGCGGACGGGUGAGUAACACGUGGAUAACCUACCUAUAAGACUGGGAUAACUUCGGGAAACCGGAGCUAAUACCGGAUAAGAUUUUGAACCGCAUGGUUCAAUAGUGAAAGACGGCCUUGCUGUCACUUAUAGAUGGAUCCGCGCCGUAUUAGCUAGUUGGUAAGGUAACGGCUUACCAAGGCAACGAUACGUAGCCGACCUGAGAGGGUGAUCGGCCACACUGGAACUGAGACACGGUCCAGACUCCUACGGGAGGCAGCAGUAGGGAAUCUUCCGCAAUGGGCGAAAGCCUGACGGAGCAACGCCGCGUGAGUGAUGAAGGUCUUCGGAUCGUAAAACUCUGUUAUCAGGGAAGAACAAACGUGUAAGUAACUGUGCACGUCUUGACGGUACCUGAUCAGAAAGCCACGGCUAACUACGUGCCAGCAGCCGCGGUAAUACGUAGGUGGCAAGCGUUAUCCGGAAUUAUUGGGCGUAAAGCGCGCGUAGGCGGUUUUUUAAGUCUGAUGUGAAAGCCCACGGCUCAACCGUGGAGGGUCAUUGGAAACUGGAAAACUUGAGUGCAGAAGAGGAAAGUGGAAUUCCAUGUGUAGCGGUGAAAUGCGCAGAGAUAUGGAGGAACACCAGUGGCGAAGGCGACUUUCUGGUCUGUAACUGACGCUGAUGUGCGAAAGCGUGGGGAUCAAACAGGAUUAGAUACCCUGGUAGUCCACGCCGUAAACGAUGAGUGCUAAGUGUUAGGGGGUUUCCGCCCCUUAGUGCUGCAGCUAACGCAUUAAGCACUCCGCCUGGGGAGUACGACCGCAAGGUUGAAACUCAAAGGAAUUGACGGGGGACCCGCACAAGCGG
rnacentral:rRNA from 1 species